CGCUAGCGACAGGCCUAACACAUGCAAGUCGAGGGGCAGCACAAGGAGCAAUCUGAGGUGGCGACCGGCGCACGGGUGAGUAACACGUAUGCAACCUGCCUGUAAGCGGGGAAUAACCCGUUGAAAGACGGACUAAUACCGCAUAAUACUAAAUUACUGCAUGGUAAUUUAUUUAAACAUUUAUGGCUUACAGAUGGGCAUGCGCAUGAUUAGCUAGUUGGAGAGGUAACGGCUCCCCAAGGCAACGAUCAUUAGGGGUUCUGAGAGGAAGGUCCCCCACACUGGUACUGAGACACGGACCAGACUCCUACGGGAGGCAGCAGUGAGGAAUAUUGGUCAAUGGACGAGAGUCUGAACCAGCCAAGUCGCGUGCAGGAAGAAUGUCCUAUGGAUUGUAAACUGCUUUUGCAGGGGAAUAAAGUGCAUCACGUGUGAUGUUUUGUAUGUACUCUGCGAAUAAGGAUCGGCUAACUCCGUGCCAGCAGCAGC
rnacentral:rRNA from 1 species